rnacentral:tRNA from 1 species
GGUAGUGUGGCUAAGGUGCUGGAUUAAGACUUCAGUCUCUCAGGAGUCGUGGGUUCAAAUCCCACCGCUGUCA